rnacentral:rRNA from 1 species
AGGGAUAAGUGCUGAAAGCAUCUAAGCAUGAAGCCCCCCUCAAGAUGAGACUUCCCAUCUAUUCGAUAGAGUAAGAUCCCUCAGAGACGAUGAGGUAGAUAGGUUCGAGGUAGAAGCGUGGUGACAUGUGAAGCUGACGAAUACUAAUAGAUCGAGGACUUAACUAU